rnacentral:rRNA from 1 species
UACGAAGGGGGACGAGCGUUGUUCGGAAUUACUGGGCGUAAAGCGCACGUAGGCGGCUUUGUAAGUUAGAGGUGAAAGCCCGGGGCUCAACCCCGGAAUUGCCUUUAAGACUGCAUCGCUUGAAUCCGGGAGAGGUGAGUGGAAUUCCGAGUGUAGAGGUGAAAUUCGUAGAUAUUCGGAAGAACACCAGUGGCGAAGGCGGCUCACUGGACCGGUAUUGACGCUGAGGUGCGAAAGCGUGGGG